UACAGAGGUCUCAAGCGUUGUUCGGAUUCAUUGGGCGUAAGGGGUGCGUAGGCGGCGCGGUAAGUCGGGUGUGAAAUCUCGGGGCUUAACUCCGAAACUGCAUUCGAUACUGCCGUGCUUGAGGACUGGAGAGGAGACUGGAAUUACGGUGUAGCGGUGAAAUGCGUAGAUAUCGUAAGGAAGACCAGUGGCGAAGGCGGGUCUCUGGACAGUUCCUGACGCUGAGGCACGAAGGCCAGGGGAGCAAACGGG
rnacentral:rRNA from 1 species